UCGCGCGUGUGAAUUCGCGUGUCAGCGAGAACUGAACGGAACGGUAUAAAGCGACGCCAAAGUCAGCUGCGUUGGAGCUUUUAUUUUUUUUCGGCGUGAGAGUGAAAAAAGUGCCCCAUAAGAGAGAGAGAGAGAAAGAUAGUAAAGUUGAGAAAUGAGCACCAGGAUCGACACGAAACUGGAUGACUGGGUUGGGGGGCUUUCAAGGCUGAGCGGUCUUGUUUAUGUGGCAUAAACAAAAACAUUCGCUGUCAGCUAAUUUUGUUGAAUGUUUUUGCACUGAUUGCAGAAGUGCGGGCAGUUGCAUAAACAAUAAACAGCGCCAGUUCGAUUGCAUCGAUUUGUGGGCGACGACAGAGCGAGGUGCAACGCGAUCUGGAUACAAAGGCUUCAGGUUUCUCUUUUCCAGAUGUGAUCCCCUGCUUGCCCUGUGUGUGUAUUUUUGACUAGACCGGCUCCGGGACAAACAUUGACACAAGUGUUGAGUACCAACAACAACGUCAAUAAAGCCGCAACAAUUACUCACCUCGCUGGGUGACAUGGAUGUGGAUGACAUUGAUUUUCCUUCUCUCCGCUCCAGCCUUCUGACCUUCCAGUGCUCUCUUUCUGCAGCCCUGAAUUCCGUCGAUUUUGUAGGUUUCCAAUGCGAAGAAUCCGGUUUAAAUUACAACUAAAUUAAAA